GUAACCCAGAGCAGCAGGAACAGAGCUCAGCCUUCUAGGCCCAAUCCUGCUGCCUGUAUUUGUGUUCCUCUAGCAACUGAUAUUUUUGAUUGAUUUGUUUGGCUAGAGGAUCGGGUAGGGUUUGACAAGUUAAGGGCAGGUGCUCUAGGUUGCAGAAUCAGCACAGUGAAGGACCCAAGGCUUUUCGCACAUCAGAUCAGUUCUCUGGAAUGAGUUCAAGGUUGUGAUGAGCUCACCGCAGCAGCUGGACUAACUUGGCCACCUCCAGAGUUUUCACUUGAAAGGAGGCCUGGAGCCUCCUCUCUAUCCAUAGUCACCUGUUUCCAGAGUCGCCCUCUGCUGGCCAUUUGGCAAGCUCACAUAGCCUUGUUCCCUUGGCUUCCAAAGCAGGACAGAAAACACCAAAGGAGACACAAAUCAUCUGCUCUGCGCUGCUCUUCUCAGAGUCUCAUCCUGAACAGUGUAUCCAAGAUCAAUGCUGCAGGGGCUGUAGCUAAUCUCGGGACCAAACAUGUUGCCAUGGGAUGACACAAAGGAAAGGAUUUGCACUCUAUUCCCACCUUUUCUCAGUUGCUUUCUUGAUUCACAGGGCUGGUACUGUGACUGCUAUGAAGAUCAAAUUGCUGCUUCAAAAAUGCCCCAACCUUACCUUACACUAGAGAUGGUGACACCAGUCUUGAAUGAGCUCCUGCCCUGGCGGAGGUGGGAGACGGAAUCACUGAAUGACUUCCUUCAGAUCUGCUCCCACCUUCAAGACAUAUGAACCUCUGAAGACAGGCAACUAUUUGUGUCUACUGAUUGGCAAGUGAAUGGAGAAGGUGUUGCUAAAGGCUGCUGAGAGACUAUUCAGUGGAGUGACAUGAGGUCUUAAAUUUUCCUUAGAACAGAAGGGAAGGAAAUGAAAAUAGACAAGGAACAAGAAAGAUAAGCUAUGACACUGAUAUUGGUGCUCAAUAGAGGAAUGUGAUUUUAUUAGAUUAUUCUGUUUUCUAUACACAUUUAAAAUGUUCUCUAAUUGAAAAAGUUAACUAGCAAAAAAAAAUGCUGCUUAAAA